GCUCUGCACUUUUCACACAUGGCUCUUCGUGGAAUUGAUCCAGUUGCUUCUGUGACCCAAUCCGAACUUUGAACACAAAAAGCCCAAAGUGUGGUGUUUUCAACAUGCAAUUAUUGUGUCUGUGGAGCUCCAAGAAUGAAAUAAGCUGCUUCUAAUUAUGUGAACUGAAUAUAUACAGCUGGGAGGACUAGAACACACAACAGCUCAUAAGGACCAGUACCAAGACAAAGUAUGGCUUUCAACUGCCCUUUUUUGAUGCUGAGCAAACUAGUAUGAUCUAGUA